rnacentral:tRNA from 2 species
CGGGCCGUAGUGUAGUGGUAGCACGAGUCCUUCGGGAGGAUUUAGCCCGAGUUCGAAUCUCGGCGGCCCGACCA